CUUCGUACAAGGAUUUAUUAAAAUUGUGUGUGCAAAACGGAGGUGAGUGCAAAUUAGAGGAGUACCGCCUCACCCUUCAAGACUUAUAUUCAGUGUCGGUCUUUGGAGGAGAUUAAGAAUUACAAGAAAUAUGGAAGUCGUCCUCGGCGUCACAAGGUGAAAACACAAGACAAAGAAGAAAGCAAUGACAAAACCAAAAAUGAAAUAGAUGAAAUGCUUGUUGCUCAAGGAAAAGCAAAAGCAGAAGUUAUGAGAACUUUUGUUGAAGAGUUUCUUUCGGAAGCUUAUUACAAUCAGCUUCACAUGUUCAACCCAUAAUCAACAAAAAUCAACUAUUAUAUAAUGUUCAAACCGACUGUAAAACAUUAUCAUCAAUUUAUUUAAUACCUAUGUUGACAACUUCCAUGUGAUUUAGGAUUUUCAUAUGA